UUUUAUGGAGAGUUUGAUCCUGGCUCAGGAUGAACGCUGGCGGCGUGCCUAAUACAUGCAAGUCGAGCGAACGGACGAGAAGCUUGCUUCUCUGAUGUUAGCGGCGGACGGGUGAGUAACACGUGGAUAACCUACCUAUAAGACUGGGAUAACUUCGGGAAACCGGAGCUAAUACCGGAUAAUAUUUUGAACCGCAUGGUUCAAAAGUAAAAGACGGUCUUGCUGUCACUUAUAGAUGGAUCCGCGCUGCAUUAGCUAGUUGGUAAGGUAACGGCUUACCAAGGCAACGAUGCAUAGCCGACCUGAGAGGGUGAUCGGCCACACUGGAACUGAGACACGGUCCAGACUCCUACGGGAGGCAGCAGUAGGGAAUCUUCCGCAAUGGGCGAAAGCCUGACGGAGCAACGCCGCGUGAGUGAUGAAGGUCUUCGGAUCGUAAAACUCUGUUAUUAGGGAAGAACAUAUGUGUAAGUAAC
rnacentral:rRNA from 1 species